CUCAACUUCACAAUCCAACAUCAUAAGUUCCAGAUCUAUAAUGGUAAAUCAAAGACGAGAGAACGAGAUUUAAGUUAGAUAAGUAAAAAGAUUUGGGGGAAAAGAAAACAACCAAUCUAUUCAUUAUCCCCAUCUCCCAUGGUCAUCCCCAUUCGUUGCUAACCCUUUAUCUCAAUUCUCAACCAUCGGCCAUCACCGAACGAUUAAUCAUUUUCAACUUUGAGAAGCCUCUAACCAAACCGUCCACCACCGCCACUAGAUCACCACCAUAUAUACCUUACACCACCACCGCCGCCGCAGUCGAUCAUUAUCAAACACAAACAGACAAUUGAAUAAAACAAAACAAAAAACGAAAACUUUAUGAUAUUCCCAUCGAUCGUCAACGACUUUGGAAAUUCCAAAUCUGAAAAUAGCACUCUUUUUUUUCUCUAAUUGUAUUUUUAUUCAUCUGAGAGUAUAUAUGUAUAUGUAUACCCAUAUAUCAGGAGAGAGAGAAUGGAUGAUUGAAUUUGUUGUGCGCCUUGAAUUUCGAGACAAGGUUGCGGUAGAUCUGAGAUAAUCUUUGUGGGUUUUAAUAAUUUUGUGGUUGGAUCUGAGAUACUUAUUUUGAGGUGGAGGAAGUUUUCCCUUUCCUAUAUGAUUUUAUCUGGGUUUGAGAAAGAAUCAAAUCUA
rnacentral:lncRNA from 1 species